UACGUAGGGGGCAAGCGUUGUCCGGAUUUAUUGGGCGUAAAGAGCGUGUAGGCGGCCAUACAGGUCCGUUGUGAAAACUGGAGGCUUAACCUCCAGACGUCGAUGGAAACCGUAUGGCUAGAGUCCGGAAGAGGAGAGUGGAAUUCCUGGUGUAGCGGUGAAAUGCGCAGAUAUCAGGAAGAACACCGGUGGCGAAGGCGGUUCUCUGGGCCUUACCUGACGCUGAGGAGCGAAAGCGUGGGGAGCGAACAGG
rnacentral:rRNA from 1 species